GAUGAACGCUAGCGACAGGCCUAACACAUGCAAGUCGAGGGGCAGCACAUGAGUAGCAAUACGAUGGUGGCGACCGGCGCACGGGUGAGUAACACGUAUGCAACCUGCCUGUAAGCGGGGGAUAACCCGGAGAAAUUCGGACUAAUACCGCAUAACACUGAUAAUUUGCAUGAAUUUUCAGUUAAAUAUUUAUAGCUUACAGAUGGGCAUGCGUAUGAUUAGAUAGUUGGUAGGGUAACGGCCUACCAAGUCAACGAUCAUUAGGGGUUCUGAGUGGAAGGUCCCCCACACUGGUACUGAGACACGGACCAGACUCCUACGGGAGGCAGCAGUGAGGAAUAUUGGUCAAUGGGUGCAAGCCUGAACCAGCCAUCCCGCGUGAAGGACG
rnacentral:rRNA from 1 species